GACGAACGCUGGCGGCGUGCCUAAUACAUGCAAGUUGAGCGCUGAAGGUUGGUACUUGUACCGACUGGAUGAGCAGCGAACGGGUGAGUAACGCGUGGGGAAUCUGCCUUUGAGCGGGGGACAACAUUUGGAAACGAAUGCUAAUACCGCAUAAAAACUUUAAACACAAGUUUUAAGUUUGAAAGAUGCAAUUGCAUCACUCAAAGAUGAUCCCGCGUUGUAUUAGCUAGUUGGUGAGGUAAAGGCUCACCAAGGCGAUGAUACAUAGCCGACCUGAGAGGGUGAUCGGCCACAGUGGGACGGGGACACGGCCCAAACUCCUGCGGGAGGCAGCAGUAGGGAAUCUUCGGCAAUGGACGAAAGUCUGACCGAGCAACGCCGCGUGAGUGAAGAAGGUUUUCGGAUCGUAGAACUCUGUUGGUAGAGAAGAGCGUUGGUGAGAGUGGAAAGCUCAUCAAGUGACGGUAACUACCCAGAAAGGGACGGCUAACUACGUG
rnacentral:rRNA from 1 species